rnacentral:lncRNA from 1 species
UCCCACUACGUUGCUACGACCAAGAAGGGUAAAGGAAUAGCAUUACUACUUGUUGUUAGGGAGACUCCUAUAUAUGUCGACCUCCAUCCUCCACGGACAGGCAGACUUGCAAAAAUGCUCAACCCUUCCUCAUAUCUGAAAGGGCACUCCCAACGAAGCCUCUCGAAAUACUCAGCUUUCUUCCCCCCAAUAAUACCUAUACAAACCAGCCACACCAGAGCAAGAGUAUCUCAUAUCAUAAGGGUCAAAAGCAAGAGUAUCUCAUAUCAUGCUUUUCCCCUGUCUUUUCCUUUGCCCUUGUUCUUACCUGCAAGAUAAGGAGAAAGAAAGCAAUCAGUCAGCACUUGGAAUCAAG